rnacentral:rRNA from 1 species
UCUAAGGGAGAAGAGUCCGUUGGUGAGCUGCGAUCUAUCGUUUAUUGUAAGGAGCUGCUUCUGCGGGCCCGCCGCUUGUCUGCCGCCGGGGGGGCGCCUCUGCCCCCCGGGCCCGUGCCCGCCGGAGACCCCAACACGAACACUGUCUGAAAGCGUGCAGUCUGAGUUGAUUGAAUGCAAUCAGUUAAAACUUUCAACAAUGGAUCUCUUGGUUCCGGCAUCGAUGAAGAACGCAGCGAAAUGCGAUAACUAAUGUGAAUUGCAGAAUUCAGUGAAUCAUCGAGUCUUUGAACGCACAUUGCGCCCCCUGGUAUUCCGGGGGGCAUGCCUGUCCGAGCGUCAUUGCUGCCCUCAAGCCCGGCUUGUGUGUUGGGUCGCCGUCCCCCUCUCCGGGGGGACGGGCCCGAAAGGCAGCGGCGGCACCGCGUCCGAUCCUCGAGCGUAUGGGGCUUUGUCACAUGCUCUGUAGGAUUGGCCGGCGCCUGCCGACGUUUUCCAACCAUUCUUUCCAGGUUGACCUCGGAUCAGGUAGGGAUACCCGCUGAACUUAAGCAUAUCAAAGUCCGGGAGGAACAUUACCGAGUGCGGGUCCUUUGGGCCAACCUCCAUCGGGAUCUUUUGUACCCGGUUUGCUUCGGCGGGCCCCUCGUUGGCGCCCGGGAGGGGGCCCUCUCCCC